UCUGAAUUAGAAAAGUUUAUUCUCAUUAAUCUCAAAAGUAAGUACAAGAAGUGUAGGCAUGGCUAUUUAUAGGACUAGAAGUCCCACAUACCUAACACAUUUACACAGUACAUAAAAGAAAGACUACACUAAAGACAUUGGGCUUGGGCCCCGCGUAUCACUAAGCAUCCAAGAAACCAUCUUCAAGGAGUGUAGAAGUGCUCUGGACAUCUCUGCUUGCCAAAAGAUUACUUCUGAAUUCGCACUGGGUCUAUUUAUAAACCAAAAAAGUAACAGAAUUUAAGCCCAAGCCCAGCAUUCCAACGCUCAGCGCUUAAUUUGACCGCUCAGCGGUUUGCCUCCAAAUCGCUCGAUGCUCAGUGGCACCGCUCAAGCGAGAGACAGUGGCUUCUCCCUCGAGUCUGGCACUCAGCGUUGGAAAUAGCGCUGAGCGGUGAACUUGACUCUUCUUUUCUUCCUUUUUUCCUCUUUUCUUGAGUCUAAGUCCUCCCUUCUUCACUUCCAUCCUCAAAUCUCAUCAAAUCCUACAAAACAAUGCAAAAACAAGCAUAAUAUCUCUAAAAACAACUUUUGACUCUCUUUUGACUAAACUAAGUGUUUUGCUUGAUUCUAUGGUCAUUCUAAGCCAUAAAGGGUGUGUUUUGAUAUCAAUUUUAAGUGUAAAAAUAACGGUUUUUAGACCGUUAUCAAUAGUCUUCUAUCAUACACUCCUUGAUGUUGAUUUGUCUUUAAGUUCGUA
rnacentral:lncRNA from 1 species